rnacentral:rRNA from 1 species
GAUGAACGCUAGCGGCAGGCUUAACACAUGCAAGUCGAGGGGCAGCAGGGGUAGCAAUACUCGCUGGCGACCGGCAAACGGGUGCGGAACGCGUACACAAUCUACCUUUAUCUGGGGUAUAGCCCGAAGAAAUUCGGAUUAAUCCCCCAUAAGAUAUUAGAGUGGCAUCACUUCGAUAUUAAAACUCCGGUGGAUAAAGAUGAGUGUGCGUCCCAUUAGCUAGUUGGUAGGGUAACGGCCUACCAAGGCAACGAUGGGUAGCUGGUGUGAGAGCACGACCAGCCACACGGGCACUGAGACACGGGCCCGACUCCUACGGGAGGCAGCAGUGAGGAAUAUUGGUCAAUGGACGCAAGUCUGAACCAGCCAUGCCGCGUGAAGGAUGAAGGCCUUCUGGGUUGUAAACUUCUUUUAUUGGGGAAGAAAAUUACGGUUUCUACUGUAACCGACGGUACCCAAGGAAUAAGCACCGGCUAACUCCGUGCCAGCCGCCGCCGUAAAAC